rnacentral:rRNA from 1 species
UACGAAGGGUGCAAGCGUUACUCGGAAUUACUGGGCGUAAAGCGUGUGUAGGCGGUUCGUUAAGUCUGUCGUGAAAGCCCUGGGCUCAACCUGGGAAUUGCGAUGGAUACUGGCGAGCUAGAGUACGGUAGAGGAUGGUGGAAUUCCCGGUGUAGCGGUGAAAUGCGUAGAGAUCGGGAGGAACACCCGUGGCGAAGGCGGCCAUCUGGACCAGUACUGACGCUGAGGCACGAAAGCGUGGGGAGCAAACAGG